rnacentral:rRNA from 1 species
UACGGAGGGUGCAAGCGUUAUCCGGAAUCACUGGGUUUAAAGGGUGCGUAGGCGGCUUAGUAAGUCAGGAGUGAAAGCCUGCGGCUUAACCGUAGAAAUGCUUUUGAUACUGCUGAGCUUGAAUUAGGUUGAGGUUGGCGGAAUGUGACAUGUAGCGGUGAAAUGCAUAGAUAUGUCAUAGAACACCAAUUGCGAAGGCAGCUGACUAGACCUGAAUUGACGCUGAGGCACGAAAGCGUGGGGAGCGAACAGG